GAUGAACGCUAGCUACAGGCUUAACACAUGCAAGUCGAGGGGUAACGAGAGGAAAGCUUGCUUUCCUUGUCGACGACCGGCGCACGGGUGAGUAACGCGUAUCCAACCUGCCCCCAACUAAGGAAUAACCUUGCGAAAGUAAGACUAAUACCUUAUAAUUUCCUCAGAUGUCAUCUGACGAGGAAUAAAGAUUUAUCGGUUGUGGAUGGGGAUGCGUCUGAUUAGCUUGUUGGCGGGGUAACGGCCCACCAAGGCAACGAUCAGUAGGGGUUCUGAGAGGAAGGUCCCCCACAUUGAGACUGAGACACGGUCCAAACUCCUACGGGAGGCAGCAGUGAGGAAUAUUGGUCAAUGGGCGGAAGCCUGAACCAGCCAAGUAGCGUGCAGGAUGACGGCCCUAUGGGUUGUAAACUGCUUUUAUACAGGAAUAAAGUUAGCCACGUGUGGUUAUUUGUAGGUACUGUAUGAAUAAGGACCGGCUAAUUCCGUGCCAGCAGCCGCCGUAA
rnacentral:rRNA from 1 species